GAGUUUGAUUCUGGCUCAGAACGAACGCUGGCGGCAGGCUUAACACAUGCAAGUCGAACGCCCCGCAAGGGGAGUGGCAGACGGGUGAGUAACACGUGGGAACGUACCCUAAGGUUCGGAAUAUUCUCGGGAAACUGGGAGCAAUACCGAAUGUGUCCGCAAGGAGAAAGAUUUAUCGCCUUAGGAUCGGCCCGCGUCAGAUUAGUUAGUUGGUGGGGUAAAAGCCUACCAAGGCGACGAUCUGUAGCUGGUCUGAGAGGACGACCAGCCACACUGGGACUGAGACACGGCCCAGACUCCUACGGGAGGCAGCAGUGGGGAAUCUUGGACAAUGGGCGCAAGCCUGAUCCAGCCAUGCCGCGUGGAUGAUGAAGGCCUUAGGGUUGUAAAAUCCUUUCGUUGGGGACGAUAAUGACGGUACCCAAAGAAGAAGCUCCGGCUAACUUCGUGCCAGCAGCCGCGGUAAUACGAAGGGGGCUAGCGUUGUUCGGAUUUACUGGGCGUAAAGCGCGUGUAGGCGGACUGGAAAGUUGGGGGUGAAAUCCCGAGGCUCAACCUCGGAACUGCCUCCAAAACUUCCAGUCUGGACUCAAGUAG
rnacentral:rRNA from 1 species